UUCAAGUUGGGGGCACAAGGGGACUCUACGGGAGGCAGCAGUGGGGAAUAUUGCACAAUGGGCGCAAGCCUGAUGCAGCCAUGCCGCGUGUGUGAAUAAGGCUUCGGGUUGUAAAGCACUUUCAGCGAGGAGGAAGGGUUCAGUGUUAAUAGCACUGUUUAUUUUGUUACUCGCACGACAACAGCCGCCC
rnacentral:rRNA from 1 species